rnacentral:rRNA from 1 species
CAGCAGUGGGGGAAUAUUGCACAAUGGGGGAAACCCUGAUGCAGCCAUGCCGCGUGUGUGAAGAAGGCCUUCGGGUUGUAAAGCACUUUCAGUAGGGAGGAAGGUAGUGUAGUUAACACCUGCAUUAUUUGACGUUACCUACAGAAGAAGCACCGGCUAACUCCGUGCCAGCAGCCGCGGUAAUACGGAGGGUGCGAGCGUUAAUCGGAAUUACUGGGCGUAAAGCGCAUGCAGGCGGCCUGUUAAGUCAGAUGUGAAAGCCCGGGGCUUAACCUCGGAAUUGCAUUUGAAACUGGCAGGCUAGAGUCUUGUAGAGGGGGUAGAAUUUCAGGUGUAGCGGUGAAAUGCGUAGAGAUCUGAAGGAAUACCAGUGGCGAAGGCGGCCCCCUGGACAAAGACUGACGCUCAGAUGCGAAAGCGUGGGGAGCAAACAGGAUUAGAUACCCUGGUAG